GCCCUGAUGGCUCAGUUGGUUGAGUGUCAACCCAUACACUGAAACGUCGUGGGUUCGAUUCCUGGUCAGGGCA
rnacentral:tRNA from 1 species